UUGCCAGCGAUUUAAAAUCUGCUUAACUUUUUAAGUGUUCUGCAGAAACAAAAAAAAUAUGCUGGCAACACUAAAGCCAGAGUACGAGCCUUGAAGACUUUGUAGUCAUUAAGGUCCCCAUAAAUGGCUACAUUA